rnacentral:rRNA from 1 species
GACGAACGCUGGCGGCGUGCUUAACACAUGCAAGUCGAACGGAAAGGCCCUGCUUUUGUGGGGUGCUCGAGUGGCGAACGGGUGAGUAACACGUGAGUAACCUGCCCUUGACUUUGGGAUAACUUCAGGAAACUGGGGCUAAUACCGGAUAGGAGCUCCUGCUGCAUGGUGGGGGUUGGAAAGUUUCGGCGGUUGGGGAUGGACUCGCGGCUUAUCAGCUUGGUGGUGGGGUAGUGGCUUACCCAGGCUUUGACGGGUAGCCGGCCUGAGAGGGUGACCGGCCAAAGUGGGACUGAGAUACGGACCAGACUCCUACGGGAGGCAGCAGUGGGGAGUAUUGCACAAUGGGCGGAAGCCUGAUGCAGCAACGCCGCGUGCGGGAUGACGGCCUUCGGGUUGUAAACCGCUUUCGCCUGUGACGAAGCGUGAGUGACGGUAAUGGGUAAAGAAGCACCGGCUAACUACGUGCCAGCAGCCGCGGUAACAC